UACGUAGGCAGCAAGCGUUGUUCGGAGUUAUUGGGCGUAAAGAGCUCGUAGGCGGUUCGGUAAGUCAGGUGUGAAAUCUCCACGCUCAACGUGGAGGCGCCACCUGAAACUGCCGUGACUAGAGUCCGGUAGGGGAGUGUGGAAUUCCCGGUGUAGCGGUGAAAUGCGCAGAUAUCGGGAGGAACAUCAGUGGCGAAAGCGACUUCCUGGACCAGUACCGACGUUCAGGCACGAAAGCGUGGGGAGCAAACAGG
rnacentral:rRNA from 1 species